CGGUCUGGACCUGAGACUAUAAAA
rnacentral:siRNA from 1 species